rnacentral:misc_RNA from 1 species
GAUGAAGAACGUAGCGAAAUGCGAUAAGUAAUGUGAAUUGCAGAAUUCAGUGAAUCAUCGAAUCUUUGAACGCACAUUGCGCCCGCCAGUAUUCUGGCGGGCAUGCCUGUUCGAGCGUCAUUUCAACCAUCAAGCCCCAGGCUUGUGUUGGGGACCUGCGGCUGCCGCAGGCCCUGAAAACCAGUGGCGGGCUCGCUGUCACACCGGGCGUAGUAGAUUUUAUCUCGCUCAGGGCGUGCUGCGGGUUCCGGCCGUUAAAAAGCCUUUUUCACCCAAGGUUGACCUCGGAUCAGGUAGGAAGACCCGCUGAACUUAAGCAUAUCAAUAAGCGGAGGA